AGGCCAUGUAAAUGAAUAUUUGCCUGGAAAACGUCCUUGGAUAACGGUACAAUUUUUACAAGCCAAAUUUUAAUUCAGAUUGCCACAAAAGUGAAGCUCCAGUGCCAUAGUUCUUGGAAGAUAAUACUAAAAAAGGAGGGAAAAAAAUGCAACAUAUCCUGCCACCCUACUUCACUUGCCUCAUGUCUAGCUUAUAACUGUAGAGGAUAAAAGGGCUAGCAACCUUAGAGCAAAUAAAUAAGUGAAUAAGAUAUAAAGCAAAUCCAAGGAUCGUACAAGCCCAAAUAGAUAAACCAUGCAGAAAGAAGGAUGUUUAGUACAUUAAGGCAUGGCAAAGCAAAUGCCAAUACCUAAUUAGGGCUACAAAACAAGAACGUAUGAUCACGUAAUUUUAUAGGAGCCGUGAAUAUACGAGACGGCGAGAAAUGUACCAAACUAUACAUUGAAACAUGGCAAACUUGUUCUUCUUUGGGUAUGAUUUGAUAAACCAACACAGCCAAACCCAAUGCAAUCGCAAAUGGGGAAAAUUCAAAUUGUUGAUUCGGUCUCAUUUUGAUCAUCUGCACCUUCGGUUUGGAUAACAGAAGUAUCCAAACUAUUUCUGGUACUCUCAUGAGUGUCAGCAGACAAAGGGGAGAUGGGGGAUUCAUUUUCCGCAACUUCUGAAGGAUCAUCAUAGUCAGUUAAAGCAACAGAAACAUCCUCAAACUGGUCACUCACCAGCCUCAUUAGUACAUGAUGAAAGCUGGACUUUAUACGCUCAAACUUGUGGUUCGGUGUAUGCUGCUGAUUGAACCUCCCAGGACGCUUGGAGCGAGUAUUAUAACAGUCUCCACAAAGGUCAAAACCAAUUUUUUCAACACAAUCUUUGCAUUGGUAUCUAUCCCCUAUUAUAGGAUACAUCUGUUGAUACAUGCAUAUUGUUACAGUGCUGUGGAUAAUAUUCAGCCAAAAAAACAAAAUAUCAAUUGGAAGCACCACUGUAUUUGAAAUUUGGAAAGACCCGCUACAGUGUUUUGGUAUCUAUCAUUGCUUGUACUGCCCCACAAGAAUCGCAGCCAACACCAAUGUGAACCUUUAACUCGGUAGGAUUAGCCCCCUGUAGCAAAUGCUCUUCCUUUGGCACAGAUGAAAUAAGAGAAAUUUUUUUACUAGCUCUUCUAGAACAAGUAGUCUGUUUCUCAACCUCAAUGCAUGCCUGUUUUAGCUGGACAAAAUCUCUUCUCAAGGCAUACUCUUUAGGGAAUUGUUUCUCCACAAAAUGAUCAAGCUCCAAACAGACUUCUAGAAAACCAGUUGGGUGUAGAGAUUGACACGUCUGACAUUUAAGCCCCUUAUCAACUGAAGCCAGGAUGCAAGCCUCACAAUACCCAUGGCCACAGUUGAGGACAACUGGAUGAAAAAGCAGUUGCUUGCAUGCUGUGCACUGUACAUCAGUGAUUGACACCAUCUUGCAAUUUCCAUUAGGCUCUCGUUUGCUGCUGGAACAAGACUCUGAGCAUGAGUUGGGCUCCAAACUAGUAGUUGAGGCACGUUCAGGAUCCCUCAGGUGACCAUAUUCUUGAUUGGCAUGUGACCGACAUGCAUUGCAAUCAAAUUGAGGUGAAAACAAGGCCAUUUCUUUUUCUUCCGCUAGAAUUUGUUCUUCCCUUCUCUUAUAGGCAAUGGGAUACAUCUUCAAGAGCAAGAAGUGCAGCAUCUCACAGAUGGAUGGAAAGUAAUUAUAUGGAUGCCUACAAAUUGGACAAUGGGACUCUCGUAGACUAUUCAUGGAUUUAUGGACACACCAGAAACAGGACAUGUGACCACAAGAGAGCACUAUAGGUUUGUAUAGAAGAUCCAGACAAAUGCAACAGAGAAAAGAAUCGGGAACGUCCUCCAAUUCAAAGGCGUCGGCCAUCGUGAAAUGAUGAAUUUGAGAAAAACAGAGGAUCCAGGUGUUUGGGAUAAUGUCCCAAAGAACCCUGACCUUAAGAAAGAGACCAGGGUACAGGGUUGAGGACCGCGGAAGCUUAUAGCAUCCGAUUGGUUUGAGUCGGUUUGCGCAGGAAUAAGG
rnacentral:misc_RNA from 1 species